UACGAAGGGGGGCUAGCGUUGUUCGGAAUUACUGGGCGUAAAGCGCGUGUAGGCGGGUCUUUUAAGUCAGGGGUGAAAUGCCAAGGCUCAACCUUGGAACUGCCUUUGAUACUGGAGACCUUGAGUCCGGGAGAGGUGAGUGGAAUUGCGAGUGUAGAGGUGAAAUUCGUAGAUAUUCGCAAGAACACCAGUGGCGAAGGCGGCUCACUGGCCCGGAACUGACGCUGAGAUGCGAAAGCGUGGGGAGCAAACAGG
rnacentral:rRNA from 1 species